rnacentral:rRNA from 1 species
UACGGGGGGGGCAAGCGUUGUUCGGAAUUACUGGGCGUAAAGGGCUCGUAGGCGGCCAACUAAGUCAUACGUGAAAUCCCUCGGCUUAACCGGGGAACUGCGUCUGAUACUGGAUGGCUUGAGUUCGGGAGAGGGAUGCGGAAUUCCAGGUGUAGCGGUGAAAUGCGUAGAUAUCUGGAGGAACACCGGUGGCGAAGGCGGCAUCCUGGACCGAUACUGACGCUGAGGAGCGAAAGCCAGGGGGAGCAAACGGG